UGUUCCAGUGAUUCUUUAUUUCAUUAUCUGUUCGCCCUGGAAUUCUCCCUGCUAUUAGAGACCAUCUGUUGCCUAACAGCUUGUGGAGCCUGAUAAUUAGGUCUUCUUCAUCUUCUGAGAACUUCCCUCUCUUGAUGCCAGGUCUCAGGUAAUUCAACCAACGAAGCCUACAGCUCUUUCCACAUCUAUUUAGACCUGCAUGUCAUAUAAAUUCAUGCUGAAAUGUUUCUUCCAAUUAUGAAUCAAUGGCAAGUGCGAGGUAUUGUUACCUAAUUCUUUGGCAAGCCUCUCCCAUUUACCUGGACCAUGCAUGGAGAUGUAAUCCAUAAGCCUUUUGUCUUCGGGAGGAGUCCAUGCUACUCUGUUGAAAGCUUCCUUUGAAGAGGUAGACGCUCUUCCCAU
rnacentral:lncRNA from 1 species